GACAGAGGGUGCAAACGUUGUUCGGAAUUACUGGGCGUAAAGCGAGUGUAGGCGGUCUGAAAAGUCAGGUGUGAAAGCCCCGGGCUCAACUCGGGAAGUGCACUUGAAACUGCCAGGCUAGAGUGUCGGAGAGGUUGGUGGAAUUCUCGGUGUAGAGGUGAAAUUCGUAGAUAUCGAGAGGAACACCGGUGGCGAAGGCGGCCAACUGGACGAACACUGACGCUGAGACUCGAAAGCGUGGGGAGCAAACAGG
rnacentral:rRNA from 1 species